rnacentral:rRNA from 1 species
CUGGGAUAACUUCGGGAAACCGGAGCUAAUACCGGAUAAUAUUUUGAACCGCAUGGUUCAAAAGUGAAAGACGGUCUUGCUGUCACUUAUAGAUGGAUCCGCGCUGCAUUAGCUAGUUGGUAAGGUAACGGCUUACCAAGGCAACGAUGCAUAGCCGACCUGAGAGGGUGAUCGGCCACACUGGAACUGAGACACGGUCCAGACUCCUACGGGAGGCAGCAGUAGGGAAUCUUCCGCAAUGGGCGAAAGCCUGACGGAGCAACGCCGCGUGAGUGAUGAAGGUCUUCGGAUCGUAAAACUCUGUUAUUAGGGAAGAACAUAUGUGUAAGUAACUGUGCACAUCUUGACGGUACCUAAUCAGAAAGCCACGGCUAACUACGUGCCAGCAGCCGCGGUAAUACGUAGGUGGCAAGCGUUAUCCGGAAUUAUUGGGCGUAAAGCGCGCGUAGGCGGUUUUUUAAGUCUGAUGUGAAAGCCCACGGCUCAACCGUGGAGGGUCAUUGGAAACUGGAAAACUUGAGUGCAGAAGAGGAAAGUGGAAUUCCAUGUGUAGCGGUGAAAUGCGCAGAGAUAUGGAGGAACACCAGUGGCGAAGGCGACUUUCUGGUCUGUAACUGACGCUGAUGUGCGAAAGCGUGGGGAUCAAACAGGAUUAGAUACCCUGGUAGUCCACGCCGUAAACGAUGAGUGCUAAGUGUUAGGGGGUUUCCGCCCCUUAGUGCUGCAGCUAACGCAUUAAGCACUCCGCCUGGGGAGUACGACCGCAAGGUUGAAACUCAAAGGAAUUGACGGGGACCCGCACAAGCGGUGGAGCAUGUGGUUUAAUUCGAAGCAACGCGAAGAACCUUACCAAAUCUUGACAUCCUUUGACAACUCUAGAGAUAGAGCCUUCCCCUUCGGGGGACAAAGUGACAGGUGGUGCAUGGUUGUCGUCAGCUCGUGUCGUGAGAUGUUGGGUUAAGUCCCGCAACGAGCGCAACCCUUAAGCUUAGUUGCCAUCAUUAAGUUGGGCACUCUAAGUUGACUGCCGGUGACAAACCGGAGGAAGGUGGGGAUGACGUCAAAUCAUCAUGCCCCUUAUGAUUUGGGCUACACACGUGCUACAAUGGACAAUACAAAGGGCAGCGAAACCGCGAGGUCAAGCAAAUCCCAUAAAGUUGUUCUCAGUUCGGAUUGUAGUCUGCAACUCGACUACAUGAAGCUGGAAUCGCUAGUAAUCGUAGAUCAGCAUGCUACGGUGAAUACGUUCCCGGGUCUUGUACACACCGCCCGUCACACCACGAGAGUUUGUAACACCCGAAGCCGGUGGAGUAACCUUUUAGGAGCUAGCCGUCGAAGGUGGGACAAAUGAUUGGGGUGAAGUCGUAACAAGGUAGCCGUAUCGGAAGGUGCGGCUGGAUCACCUCCUUUCUAAGGA